AGCUUGAAGAUCCCAUAAACGGAGUUCACCGUCCCAAGAUCCGGAAAGUGCAAACAUACCGUCUGAUGAUAACACAACAUCUUGGACGAAAUGGCCGUGUCCGGUGAGACGGCGACGGGGGACGCCGUACUGUGAGCCCUCUUUUGUAAGUGACCAAACAAUGAUGGAUUUGUCACGAGACGAUGUGACAAUCAUGUCGGAGUUAUCAAUCGGAGUGGCAAUGGCUGUCACCCAAUCUGUAUGGGCCUUCAUUGUGCCGCGGAGGACCAGUGAUUCUUGCGACAUUGUGUCCUGCAGUGAUAGAAGCGAAAUGCAAGAAUCACUGCAG
rnacentral:misc_RNA from 1 species